CGCGGCCUAUCAGCUUGUUGGUGGGGUAAUGGCCUACCAAGGCAACGACGGGUAGCCGGCCUGAGAGGGGACCGGCCACACUGGGACUGAGACACUGCCCAGACUCCUACGGGAGGCUGCAGUCGAGAAUCUUCCGCAAUGGGGGAAACCCUGACGGAGCGACGCCGCGUGCGGGAUGGAGGCCUUCGGGUUGUAAACCGCUGUCACAGGUUAGGAAAGGGCUAGGCGUCAAUAGCGCCAAGUCUUGACAAAGGCCUGAGAGGAAGCCACGGCUAAUCACGUGCCAGCAGCCGCGGUAAUACGUGAGUGGCGAGCGUUAUCCGGAAUCACUGGGCGUAAAGCGUCCGCAGGGGGUUUGAUAAGUGCGAUGUUAAAUCUACAGGCUCAACCUGUAGGCUGCGUUGUAUACUGUCAAACUAGAGGUAUGCAGAGGUGAAUGGAAUUCCUGGAGUAGGGGUAAUAUCCGUAGAUACCAGGAGGAACACCAAUAGCGAAGGCAAUUCACUGGGCAUUACCUGACCCUCAGGGACGAAAGCGUGGGGAGCAAACCGGAUUAGAUA
rnacentral:rRNA from 1 species